rnacentral:lncRNA from 1 species
AACAAAAGGCUAAGACAACAUUCAUUAUGACCUCCUGAAUUGCUACACAAGAAGAUAAUUAAGAGCUUCGGCCUAUCUUUUAAAGCUUAUAUCUAUAAGAAAAGCUGUGGUUCACAAUUGGAGGAGACCACUAUGCAGGUGUGGGAGAUCAUCCUUCUGAGGCAACACACUUAGUUACUGAAUCUCUAAUUAUAAUAGCUACAUAGGAGAGUCAUGGGUGCCCAGCCAUCUCCCUUAUUUUAUCUCUCUUUCAUAUUGUAAUUCAUGGUAGUUCCUUUCAUUCUAUUAAUGAAAAACUUUAUUUUUUGUAAAAAAACAAACAAAUAGAACUUUCAUAACCAUUUAUUUGAACAAUGGAAAAAGCUCCUACUGAUUCAAAUAGGGAAAAUUAUAUUAGUUCGAAUUGUAGAUUCAUUUUGAUAGAAGUAUAGCACCCGCCACUUGUCCACUAAUUUUUCCAAAAUAAUUCAAUAUUUUUUACAAACAUUGAUACUAAGUUCCACUGUUAAACCAAGAACCCAAAAAAAACUUGCAAGAG